AACGAACGCUAGCGGUGCGUUUUAAGCAUGCAAGUCGAACGGUAUUUUUGUUGCUUGCAACAAAAAGAGAGUGGCGAACGGGUGAGUAACACGUAAGUAAUUUUUCUAUAUGACUGGAAUAGCCAGUGGAAACAUUGGGUAAUGCCAGAUAUUUUGUGUAAGGGAAACUUUACAUAAAAAUGGGUAUUUUUAUGCCGCAUAUAGCGAAGCUUGCGGCUGAUUAGCUUGUUGGUAAGGUAAUGGCUUACCAAGGCGACGUUCAGUAGCCGGCCUGGGAGGUUGAUCGGCCACACUGGGACUGAAACACGGCCCAUACUCCUACGGUUGGCAGCG
rnacentral:rRNA from 1 species